GUUCAGACUUCCAGAGUCAUGUGAAAGCAUCAGGAUCUAAAGCUAUCAUUGUAAAGAAAUUGUUUCUGGCUCUUUGAAACUGAACUCUCCAGCCGACUCAUCUUCCAUGGAUUCCAGUUCAGAGCCACAUCGCUCCCCUUUACAUCAGGAGGGAGACUGCAGCUGGCAAGCUGCUUGAGAAGGUCCGUGACAACCCAAGCUUGUUCUUGUUCAACAACCUUUUUAGCCCACCAGCUACAUGUCUUUCAUCAUGACACCAAUUGUGGUCAAGGAUGCCAUGCCAGGACACGACAGUAGAGUCCCUGUGGCUGGAAGACCGGUACUUAACAUCAAACACUAAUCAGUUCCUUGUCACAGACCCUACUGCUCUCCCGCCCAGCUUCGAACCUGCCACAUCAUCAGUGCCCACUAACCAAAUCCAGUGGCAGGCUCCAAGAGCUCCACUCGGCCACUAAGAACACUAUUGUUGCCUCAGCGAAUAUGCAAAUGCUAAAUAAAUAAAAUUGAGCAUCUUAA